rnacentral:rRNA from 1 species
UACAGGGGGGGCAAGCGUUGUUCGGAAUUACUGGGCGUAAAGCGCACGUAGGCGGCUUUGCAAGUUAGAGGUGAAAGCCCGGGGCUCAACUCCGGAAUUGCCUUUAAAACUGCAUCGCUAGAAUUGUGGAGAGGUAAGUGGAAUUCCGAGUGUAGAGGUGAAAUUCGUAGAUAUUCGGAAGAACACCAGUGGCGAAGGCGACUUACUGGACACAUAUUGACGCUGAGGUGCGAAAGCGUGGGGAGCAAACAGG